rnacentral:rRNA from 1 species
UACGUAGGGCGCAAGCGUUGUCCGGAAUUAUUGGGCGUAAAGAGCUCGUAGGCGGUCUGUCGCGUCUGCCGUGAAAACCCGAGGCUUAACCUCGUGGCUUGCGGUGGAUACGGGCAGACUAGAGGUAGGUAGGGGAGAAUGGAAUUCCCGGUGUAGCGGUGAAAUGCGCAGAUAUCGGGAGGAACACCUGUGGCGAAGGCGGCCGGCUGGGGGUACCCUGACGCUGAGGCGCGACAGCGUGGGGAGCGAACCGG